UUGAUCCUGGCUCAGGAUGAACGCUAGCUACAGGCUUAACACAUGCAAGUCGAGGGGCAGCAUGGUCUUAGCUUGCUAAGGCCGAUGGCGACCGGCGCACGGGUGAGUAACACGUAUCCAACCUGCCGUCUACUCUUGGACAGCUUUCUGAAAGGAAGAUUAAUACAAGAUGGCAUCAUGAGUCCGCAUGUUCACAUGAUUAAAGGUAUUCCGGUAGACGAUGGGGAUGCGUUCCAUUAGAUAGUAGGCGGGGUAACGGCCCACCUAGUCUUCGAUGGAUAGGGGUUCUGAGAGGAAGGUCCCCCACAUUGGAACUGAGACACGGUCCAAACUCCUACGGGAGGCAGCAGUGAGGAAUAUUGGUCAAUGGGCGAGAGCCUGAACCAGCCAAGUAGCGUGAAGGAUGACUGCCCUAUGGGUUGUAAACUUCUUUUAUAAAGGAAUAAAGUCGGGUAUGGAUACCCGUUUGCAUGUACUUUAUGAAUAAGGAUCGGCUAACUCCGUGCCAGCAGCCGCGGUAAUACGGAGGAUCCGAGCGUUAUCCGGAUUUAUUGGGUUUAAAGGGAGCGUAGAUGGAUGUUUAAGUCAGUUGUGAAAGUUUGCGGCUCAACCGUAAAAUUGCAGUUGAUACUGGAUAUCUUGAGUGCAGUUGAGGCAGGCGGAAUUCGUGGUGUAGCGGUGAAAUGCUUAGAUAUCACGAAGAACUCCGAUUGCGAAGGCAGCCUGCUAAGCUGCAACUGACAUUGAGGCUCGAAAGUGUGGGUAUCAAACAGGAUUAGAUACCCUGGUAGUCCACACGGUAAACGAUGAAUACUCGCUGUUUGCGAUAUACAGCAAGCGGCCAAGCGAAAGCGUUAAGUAUUCCACCUGGGGAGUACGCCGGCAACGGUGAAACUCAAAGGAAUUGACGGGGGCCCGCACAAGCGGAGGAACAUGUGGUUUAAUUCGAUGAUACGCGAGGAACCUUACCCGGGCUUAAAUUGCAGAUGAAUUACGGUGAAAGCCGUAAGCCGCAAGGCAUCUGUGAAGGUGCUGCAUGGUUGUCGUCAGCUCGUGCCGUGAGGUGUCGGCUUAAGUGCCAUAACGAGCGCAACCCUUGUUGUCAGUUACUAACAGGUUCCGCUGAGGACUCUGACAAGACUGCCAUCGUAAGAUGUGAGGAAGGUGGGGAUGACGUCAAAUCAGCACGGCCCUUACGUCCGGGGCUACACACGUGUUACAAUGGGGGGUACAGAGGGCCGCUACCACGCGAGUGGAUGCCAAUCCCCAAAACCUCUCUCAGUUCGGACUGGAGUCUGCAACCCGACUCCACGAAGCUGGAUUCGCUAGUAAUCGCGCAUCAGCCACGGCGCGGUGAAUACGUUCCCGGGCCU
rnacentral:rRNA from 1 species